UUCCAUAUUUUGUAUGUCUGAGGAAGGUAGAUUAGUAUUUUAUUUUACCUUCUGAAUAUAUAAGCUUUUCUUCCCAUUGCUGGAAAUGCACUAUAGUACAGAAACAGCUGGUACAAUUGUGGGGUUCAACUCUGGAAAUCUUAAUUCAGAACAUAUGCAUAGUUUUUUUUUUUUUAAUAACUCUUUUGUUGAGUAAAAUUGAAGAAAGUGUUAUUCAAGGUGUGGUUGGGUGGAAGGUGCAGUGCAGUGCUAAACUUUUUCUACUUAUGGCCAAAGCAGAUUUUUUUGUCCGGCCCAACCAUGGGGUUGCGAGAAGUGCAUCUCAUGUAGUGUUCAUGAAGCACUGAAAAAUGGGGAAAUGCUGUUGAGACAGCCAUGAUCUUUUGUA